AUGUCCCUUUGCAUCUUAAACUCAAUUUCCCGAGAGAAAACAUUCUCCGAGAGAGACAUAACCCCAAUUGUUACAAUAUGUCAUUUUGACAACACAAGCAGUCAGAUAUGUAUGUAUCACAAUUCAAGGUUUAUAAAUUACGUCAAACAGUCUAAAGCAGGAUUCAGAUGCAUAUUUAGGAUGCAAUGACAAGGGAAGCAUCCCAUCCAUAUGCCAUAAGGACAGCUCAUAUAACCUCAAAGAGGACAUCACUCACCGCCGCAAUACUAAUGUCAAAAGUCUGUUAUUACAGGAAAGAUUAUAAAUUUUUGUAUAUUCAAGAUGUAUGCACAGAAUGAUAUAAAUUCUAAUUAGAAGGUAUUAACUUUGCAUCAGGUAAUUAUUAUAAUUGACAUCAUGCUAAAAACAACUUUUAGCUUCCAAUAUCAUAUAGUUACGUAGUUUAGUAUAUGUAAUUACUAUUAUUGAUAGAGAGUCAUUUAUUAUUUAAUUAUUUAUUUAAUUAUAUGUUUACCAUGCACGCACCAAGAGUCAAAAGCAUGGAAUAUCACUGGUUAGCUCGACAAGAGAAAAAGUCACAAGAUUAAUAGCACUGAGAUAUAAAACGUAAUUACAGAAAAUAUUACUCAAGAGUUAAUGUGUAUUUAAUAAUUGUUAUAAUUAUCAAAUUGUCUUUUACUAUAUGUAUUAAACGUAUUACCCCGAAAAAAGCUUUAUUAAGACUAUUAUUAACGUUAAACUAAAUAUUAAAGUUUAUAAUAUCUAAAGAUAUAGCUUAUAGUCAUUGUACAAUUAAAGGCAACUUCUGUGUAUCUCAGCACAUAUUUCUUUUUGUUCACUACACAUAUAACUAAUUAUUCCACUUAUCUUAGGUGAUGACAGCAUCCUCCCCCCUGGCUGUCACACGGUGUGUUACGCGGAUGACACACUGGUGAUGGUCGGGGGGACCUCGUGGGAAGACGCGACCGCUCGGACGAACAUAGCGAUCAACCGCGUCGUGCGCUACGUAAGGAGGAUGGGACUCAAAGUGGCGCCCCAGAAAACCGAGGCCAUCUUUUUGCAUGAUGGCUCUCACGGGGCGCCGCCGAGAGUCCACAUCACAGUGGAGGACACCCCAAUAGAGGUGGGGGCCUGCAUGAAAUAUCUGAGCCUCCACCUUGACAAUAAGUGGACCUUCCAAGAACACUUCCGCCGCAUAUCCCCCAAAGU